UACAGAGGGGGCAAGCGUUGUCCGGAAUUAUUGGGCGUAAAGAGCUCGUAGGCGGUUUGUCGCGUCUGCUGUGAAAACCUAAGGCUCAACCUUGGGCUUGCAGUGGGUACGGGCAGACUAGAGUGCGGUAGGGGUGACUGGAAUUCCUGGUGUAGCGGUGGAAUGCGCAGAUAUCAGGAGGAACACCCGAUGGCGAAAGGCAGGUCACUGGGCCGCAA
rnacentral:rRNA from 1 species